rnacentral:rRNA from 1 species
CCUACGGGCGGCAGCAGUGAGGAAUAUUGGACAAUGGGCGGGAGCCUGAACCAGCCAAGUCGCGUGAAGGAAGAAGGUACUCAGUAUUGUAAACCUCUUUUGUCGGGGAGCAAAGCGAGUGACGUGUGACUCAUUGAGAGUACCCGAAGAAAAAGCAUCGGCUAACUCCGUGCCAGCAGCCGCGGUAAUACGGAGGAUGCGAGCGUUAUCCGGAUUUAUUGGGUUUAAAGGGUGCGCAGGCGGAGGUGCAAGUCAGCGGUAAAAUGGCGGGGCUCAACCCCGUACUGCCGUUGAAACUGCAUCCCUUGAGUGCGCGAGAGGUAUGCGGAAUGCGUGGUGUAGCGGUGAAAUGCAUAGAUAUCACGCAGAACUCCGAUGGCGAAGGCAGCAUACCGGCGCGCAACUGACGCUCAUGCACGAAAGCGUGGGUAUCGAACAGGAUUAGAUACCCUAGUAGUC